GACACAGGACUUGAGGUGUCAUUCUGCUCCUUUCAUGAUUGAAUCUUCCAAGCGGUUCAACAGUAUUUUAUCUGUGCAGCAAUUAUGGCGUCAAGGUCGUGUGCAAACCUUUUAGAUUUGGUGUCUGAGGACCUGUUGGAUAUUCCUAAGACUCCAAGAAUACUUCCUCGAGUGAUGACGGUUCCUGGGAUUAUUCCUGACCUAGAUGACUAUGGCACUGCAGAUGGGAGUUCAGAUGUUCUUUCUUCUGUACCCUGGCGACGGAUAAUUAUAGUGGCCAAUCAGCUUCCUUUGCAUGCUCAAAGGGAUCCAGCAACUGGAAGCUGGUGCUUCAGUUUGGACGAGGAUUCUCUUGUCUUGCAAAUGAAGGAUGGUCUCUCAUCUGGUACUGAAGUUAUUUAUGUUGGUUCUCUAAAGGUUGAUAUAGAAGCAAAGAAACAGGAGGAAAUCGCUCAAAAAUUGCUGGAGGAGUACCGUUGUAUACCCACAUUUCUGGAUCCUGACCUGCAGAGAAAGUUCUACCAUGGCUUUUGCAAGCAGCAGCUUUGGCCCCUUUUUCACUACAUGUUACCCAUUUGCCCAGACCAUGGUGACCGGUUCAACAAGUCUCUGUGGCAAGCCUACAAAACCGCGAAUCGAAAAUUUGCUGACAAGGUCUUUGAGGUGAUUAAUCCUGAUAAUGAUUAUGUCUGGAUUCAUGAUUAUCACCUUAUGGCUCUCCCGACACUCUUAAGAAAGCGGGCCCAUCGAGUUAAGCUCGGAUUCUUCCUUCACAGUCCAUUCCCCACGUCUGAAAUUUACCGGACUCUGCCUGUUAGAGAUGAAAUUCUGAGGUCGUUGCUAAAUUCUGAUCUAAUUGGUUUUCAUACAUUCGAUUAUGCACGGCACUUCCUUUCUUGUUGCAGCAGGAUUCUGGGCCUGACCUAUGAAUCUAAGCGGGGCUACAUUGGGAUUGAAUAUUAUGGCCGCACAGUAUAUAUUAAGAUUCUCCCUGUCGGUGUUCACAUGGGUCGCCUUGAAACUGUAUUAAACCUUCCCUGUACGGUCAACAAAGUUAAAGAGAUCCAAGAGCGGUUCAAGGGAAAAAAGCUGAUUCUAGGCGUAGAUGACAUGGACAUAUUUAAAGGUAUCAGUCUGAAGCUGCUAGCGAUGGAGCAGCUUUUGAAGCAGUAUUUGCGGAAGGUGGAUGGAAAAGUAGUCUUGGUUCAAAUCACUAAUCCAGCAAGGAGCAAUGGGAAGGAUGUCCAGGAAGCGAGACGUGAAGCCUUUUCGACGGUUGAAAGGAUCAAUGAAAAAUAUGGCUCUCCUGACUAUCAUCCAGUGGUUUUGAUUGAUCAGCCCGUUCCUCUGUAUGAAAAGAUUGCCUAUUAUGCCGCGGCAGACUGUUGUAUAGUCAAUGCUGUGAGGGAUGGCAUGAACUUAGUUCCAUACAAGUACGUGGUUUGCAGGCAGGGAACUCGGGAGAUGAAUAAAGCUCUGGGCAUCGUUGAGGAGUCCCCACGAACGAGCAUGCUUGUUGUGUCGGAAUUCAUAGGCUGCUCCCCAUCUCUGAGCGGGGCCAUCAGGGUCAAUCCAUGGAACGUUGAGGAUGUCGCUGAUGCCUUGUACAAGGCCGUAACCAUGCCUGAACCCGAGAAGCAGCUGCGCCAUGAAAAGCAUUAUCGGUAUGUCAGCUCUCAUAAUGUGGCUUAUUGGGCCCGCAGCUUCGAGCAAGAUCUGGAGAGGGCCUGCAAAGAUCACUACAAUAGGCGGUGCUGGGGCAUUGGGUUGGGUCUGGGUUUGGGUUUCAGGGUCAUUGCCCUUGAUCUAAAUUUUAGGAAGUUGUCCAUUGAUCACAUUGUUUCAGCAUAUAAGAGAACGAAUAGGAGGGCAAUAUUUUUGGACUACGAUGGUACCGUCAUGCCCCAAACAUCCAUUAGUAAAACUCCCAGUGAUGAGGUCAUUUCUGUGCUGAAUAGCUUGUGCAGUGAUCCUAAGAACACUGUAUUUAUUGUUAGCGGCAGGGGGCGGAGCAGCCUAAGUGAGUGGUUUGCCCCAUGCGAGACGUUAGGAAUUGCGGCUGAGCAUGGUUACUUCAUAAGGUGGGGUAAGGCUGCUGAUUGGGAAACCUGUUCACUAGCUGCUGACUUUGAUUGGAAAACAAUUGUGGAACCUGUUAUGAGACUAUAUACUGAGACAACAGAUGGGUCUUACAUAGAAUCGAAGGAAAGUGCGUUGGUCUGGCAUCAUCAAGAUGCAGAUCCCGAUUUCGGAUCCUGUCAAGCGAAGGAACUGCUAGAUCAUCUGGAGAGUGUACUUGCAAAUGAGCCCGUUGUUGUUAAAAGAGGUCAGCAUAUCGUGGAAGUUAAACCCCAGGGAGUGAGUAAAGGGUUGGUAGCGGAGAAGCUUCUUUCGGCAAUGGUGUGUAGUGGGAAGCAACCAGAUUUCGUCUUGUGCAUCGGAGAUGACCGAUCAGAUGAGGACAUGUUUGAAAGCAUCUUGAGCACGGUUGCGAAUCCGUCGUUCCAUGAAGCCCCCGAGAUUUUUGCAUGCACAGUUGGGCAGAAGCCAAGCAAGGCUAAAUAUUAUCUAGAUGAUACCGUGGAUGUUGUGAAAUUGCUUUAUGGCCUUGCUGCUGCUUCGAGUCAGCAGCCAAAGCAUACAGAUUCUCGAGUUUCAUUUGAGAGUACUGCUUGAUGUAGGUGAAGAAAGUGAAUUGUGAUGUUUGGCAUGGAAGUUGGAUUGAAGCGGAAAUGGUUUGAUGUGGAUUUUAUUUUGGAGUAUCCACCAAACAUAAGGAGCUUAGGUGAUUAGUGUUAAUAUUCUCAUGAUACAUGGUGGUUGUCGCACAUGCAGUUUUGGUUAUCUAUGCAAUGGAGAAUGGUGGUUGCAGCAGCAUGAUGGGCAACUAGCAUAUAUGAAUCUGCAUAAUGAAGAUGUCGACAACAUUGAUGUUUCCGGUCGCUUAGACAGCGCACAUUGCUUCCGAUACAGAGUUGCUGAUGAUGAUCAGAUUGGUAGUUUGAAGUUAGAAUACAAAACUAGUAAGAAAGUUUCACUUGGAAAGUCAUGGUUGUUGUGGAGGUUGGUGCGGUUGUCUCUGUCCUGUAUGACUUCUGGGCAUGGUGUGCCGCUGGCACAGCCAAGCAUUGGUGAAGUCCUCAUGUUAUGUACAGGCCAGACAGACAGUGAUGCUCUAUUUGAGAUUUAGGAUGGAAAAAGGAGGGUAGUUAUCCUUGUAGAAGACAUGGAAAGUGAUUUUAUCUUUUAAUUUCUUGCAUUAUUCUAGUAGAAGAUAAAUGAAGUUUCCAUCUUUGGCAUUUUCUUCUUCUCGAGUUCUUCACUCUGAUCUCCAUUUACCUUCUCCACUGCAACCAAUCUCUCCAUAUAUACAAAGGUAGAAAUGUCUGCAAUAGAAAGCAAAACUAAACUACAUUUCC